rnacentral:lncRNA from 1 species
GGCUCUUGGCAGCUGCGAGAAAAGUCCUAGCCCACAAGAUGCUGUGAAGACCAUUUCUUUCUCAAAUCCUCAUUUUCCAAGGAACUUUUUGAAGAUAACCAUCCUAUCACAACUAAGACAAAUCCACUGAACCACCUCACUUAUAUUUAUGAGCUGCCUACAUCAUGUAGUGGCUUGAAAUGAUCUCCUCUGACUUCAAAUACUUUAUAAGCCAGCAGAAUUUGAGUUGGU